UUUCAACAAGUAUUUAUGGAGUAUCUACUACAUCCUUGGCAAUGUUUUAGGUAUGUUCUGUACAUUAUUUCAUUUGUCCUCAGAGAAACUCUAUGUGGUUUGCAUUAAUACCUGUACUUUCUAGGUGAGGAUGCUGAAGCUCAGGGAUGCUGAAUGACUUGUCCAAGGCAUCUAGUAAAUAAUUCUGAGUUGAACAGAAGGUCUGGAAAAUUAGGAAACUGGCUUUUACCAUGGGAUGCAGAUGAAUCAGACCUGCUAAUGUGUGAAUCGUCACAGCUUUGAAGCAUCUCUGGAUAACAUGUGACUUCUUGGAUGAACUAUAAUUGAAACUCACAGGUAUGGAACAAACAUCAUGGUCAGGCAAAACUGCUCCCUCCUAGGCAAGGAAUUCCGUGUAGAUUUCAUUUUUAUCUCAUUUAAUCCUCAUGACAAUCUUAAAAGUGAUUGCUAGUACUUUUUGACAAAUGAGGACACAGUGACUCAAGAAGUGAAAUAACUUACCAAAAAUCAUACACCACUGAGUGGUAGAAUCAGGAUCCAAGCUCAAGCUUUCUGGUCUAAAAUUCCUGCUACAUCACUAGUUUAUGCUGCCAAAAUCACAGACAUCCCCCUUUGGAGCUACAGGGAAAGCCAGGCUAUCAGGGCCCUUUGCACAGACUCAGCUCAAUCCAUAGCUCUGCCAUGAACUAGCUGUGUGACCAUCAGCAUGUUACCUAGCCUUUGUGUGCCUGUUUCUUCCUCUGUAAAAUGAGGCUGGUAGCAGUACCAUUUUAUACGGCA
rnacentral:lncRNA from 10 species